UACGAAGGGGGCGAGCGUUGUUCGGAAUUACUGGGCGUAAAGGGCGCGUAGGCGGCGAACCAAGUCAGAUGUGAAAGUCCUGGGCUUAACCUGGGGACUGCAUUUGAUACUGGUUUGCUUGAAUUCGGGAGAGGAUAGCGGAAUUCCCAGUGUAGAGGUGAAAUUCGUAGAUAUUGGGAAGAACACCGGUGGCGAAGGCGGGUCUCUGGGCCGAUACUGACGCUGAGGAGCGAAAGCGUGGGGAGCGAACAGG
rnacentral:rRNA from 1 species